rnacentral:lncRNA from 1 species
CCCUAGCAUCAGUGUCUGCCUUUUUAAAAGCUCAGUAGACUUCAGUUUUUAGGAUCCUGACGUCAUGAUUCUUACUGGUGAGGAAAGUGAGGCUGGAGAGGGAAAGAGACGGGCUGAGCCUCCGGGCGCAGGCGAGAGACCCCCGAAGCUAAAGGGCCAUGGAGGUGACAGGUCCCGCGUCCUUGCUGUACAGUCGGGGAAUCCAGGGCCCCAAGAGGAGCAGCGAUGCUCUCCCCCAAAGCCUCCCACCCCCUGACCCGGGCGAGGGCGUGGAUGAGGGGAGGGAGGUGGGCAGGGGGGCCGGGGACCUCACCGACAUGGCAGCGGCUCCUGGGGCAGCGUCCUCGGUCCUGCAGGCCAGUGCUCAGCUGUCUCUUCAAGUCCAAAUUAUAGUAAACCCUUAUCCAUUACCUCACCCAAGGCGGGGCUCUUCCUGUGAAAAGAGGCUUAGCUGGGAGCCUUGUUUGCAGUUCCAGGGAAUAGAAUUUGACCCAGGUGCCGGGAAGCAGCCUCUGCCCCAUAAUCCCACAGCACACUUGGCCCUUUCUCUGAUGAAAAGAGAGAUGUGAGGAGCAGCGGGCUCUCUGACGUGGUUGAAAUCAUGAGCUGGGCCUGGCAUCCUGCCCCAGUUCCAUCUGGCAAGCCUAGGACCUUGUGCCUCAAUUUCCUCUGUAUCAUGAGGAUGCCAUGGGCAUUACAGUGCAUGAAAAGCAAAAACCACAGAUCCUGCCUCAGAAAGCCUCCUUAAAGGUGUGUUCUUUCAUUUACUCUGAAUUUUGGGGAAGAAAAAUGGGACCAGAGAGGCAGGAAUUGGCAGUGGGGGAUUGGGGGGCUGCCCGUC